CGCCGUAGAAGUAGAACAGCCUCGCAAUUUCGUGCCUCGGAAAGUUUCCAUUUUAGUGGAGACUGGUACGCGGUACGGCGCUGCGCGCGCGUGCGUACGCUUUCCCGCACGGAUUCCCUCCCUUUCCGCCUCUCGCUUCGUACGAAGAGGCCUUUUGCUUUCACAGAUUCGUUCAUCGUUUCCGAGGGGAUUCAAUUCAACCGUUAUCUGCUGCGACCUCCUUGGGAAGAUGGAAAGCAUUUACUGCGCCGCUGAUCGAUCCAACCUGCAGGUUCCCAAGAAUUUCGGAUCUUGAAGAACCAAAGGAACCAGUACUCGGAGUUGUUUUGAUAACAGAUCAACCUACUGAUGAUAAGGGGAAGGCAGAGGAAAUGCACGGAUCGCUCAGAUCUGUUUACCACUUGACUCCAGCAUGCUCAGAGACCAGGUAAGUGCAGAUUUCUUGUGCAGCAGUGCAGCAUGCUGUCUCUAUGUUCUUCAAUUCUCCUACACGUGGCGUUGCUGCUUCUAGUAGUAAUUAGCUACCUCCAGACAAGGGUAGGCACUAGCUAGGUCACUGUGGAGUCACUGUUCCAUUGGAGACCUCUGUCGUCUUGUACUUAUCUUCACAUCGAAAGCGGCCGUGCGUGUACUUGUCUUGUCUCUAGAACACUUCCAGUGUGAACACGCUUGCAGCAAGCGUCAGCCGAUCAGUUGGUUUAGGAGAGAUCUACAAACUACAACUCCUGCUGUUUUACUUCUUGAUUAAUCAGAAUGAAAGCAAAAAAACGUUAGGAGUUAGAUUGCAUUUGAGAGAUAAAAUGAUACUCUCUUAUUUUAAUUUUCUCAGAUGUAGUAGUCCAUCCAGAAAUGUUGGUUGUUUUGGUCUUCGAUCUUGAAUGCAAAUGCCAAUCUACAAUGUAGUAUGAUCAACAUGUUAUCCGAAACAGAAAGAUGCACCAUGUAGAGAAGGUCAUGUCACAGUCUAAUGACGUUAUUUUCACA